CAGAAAGUUGAGUAUGAUUCUGGAAAUGUAUGAAAAAAUAGGCCUAGGUGGGGGUAAAUAAUUUUUCCUAUUACAUGCCAUAUUUUAAAAACUCUUUUCAAGUGCUGUUGUUUUCCCCUUUUUCUUCGUCAGUGUUCUGGACAUCUUGGAAAAGGUAUACGGGAAGCAACAGAAAUCCUUACAAUUGCAAAAUAAAACCUGAGGGGAUAGGAACCGAGAACUUUUCAAUGAAGAAGACAAGAAUUGUUGACAAUUCAUACUUUAGGUCUGUUAUUGGAGCCCACCAGCAUGCCAGGAGUAGCUGGGAGUAUUCAGUGGAGCCCCAUCUGAGACUGCCAGAACACAAAGCCUCUCUCUUCGUACAUUUCAAGGAUGGGAAAAAUCAUCCUGUACAUGGAGGAUGGCCUCAGCUACACUGUCCAGCUAAAAGAAUCAGCAAAAGACUUCAAAGUAUAUUUCACAAAAUCUAGGCUCUCCAGUUUCAGACUACAGUAAAUGGAGGAUAGUCCAGGUUACAAACAUUUUAUGGCCAGAAAAAGUGCUCUGGAGCAUAGUCUAGUUAAAAAUGCCCAUAAUCCCCAUUAUAAAGCAGAACAUUUUGCAUCUUACAAACUGUGGUGUCUGUUUGCAGACGGAAACCUCACUGCCUUCUCCAAGAAUAAGAGUGAGGUACUUGUUUCACAUUUUUGCAAUAGAAGGGGCCAUUUACAUAAAAAAAAAAUAACAACUUUCAAAAAAAUCAGUCGUUUGCAUAAACAAAGCUAACAAUCUCCAGUAGAUGUCCUACCACAUGUACUGGAGGAUGGUGAGGAAGCCUUUCUAUGAAACAAGCUUCUCAUUCUCAUUUAAUAUUUGCAUUUGUCAAAUAGUAAGGUCUUAAUCGGGCUUCCCAGGGGAAUUUCAAGAUGGCAGAGUAGAAGGAUGUGCUCUCAUCUUCUCAAGCAAGAACUCCAAAAUUAUAACUCGCUGCUGAACAACCUUUGACAGGAGAAUGUUGGAUCCCACCAAGAUAAGAUACCCCACGUCCAAGGGCAAAGGAGAAGCCCCAGCAAGACAGUAGGAGGGGAGAAAUCGUGUUUAGAAUGAAACUCCAUACCCGCCAGAGAUGCUUGGAGGGCUCAAACGAAGCUUGUGCACACCAGGACCCAGAGACCCCACAGAGACUGAGCCAGAACGGUGUUUGAGAGUCUCCUGCAGAGGUACAGGUCAGCAGUGGACUGCUGCAGGGGCAGGGGCUCUUGGUGCAAUAGACCUGGGUAUGGCAUAAACCCUUUUGGAGGAAGUAGCCAUUAACCCCACCAUGGAGCUGCCAGAACUUACACAGGACUGGGGAAACAGACUCUGGGAGCACACAAACAAAACCUUGUGCACACCAGGACCCGGGAGAAAGGAGCAGUGACCCUACAAGAGACUGACCCAGACUCGCCCAUGAGUGUUCAGGAGUCUCCAGCGGAGGCGUGGGUCAGUGGU
rnacentral:lncRNA from 1 species